UACAGAGGUCCCAAGCGUUGUUCGGAUUCACUGGGCGUAAAGGGUGCGUAGGUGGCUUGGUAAGUUCGAUGUGAAAUCUCCGGGCUUAACCCGGAAAUGGCAUUGAAUACUAUUGAGCUGGAGGUUUGGAGGGGGGACUGGAAUUCUCGGUGUAGCAGUGAAAUGCGUAGAUAUCGGGAGGAACACCAGUGGCGAAGGCGAGUCCCUGGACAACACCUGACACUGAGGCACGAAAGCUAGGGGAGCAAACAGG
rnacentral:rRNA from 1 species